UACGUAGGGGGCAAGCGUUGUCCGGAUUUAUUGGGCGUAAAGAGCGUGUAGGCGGCCAUACAGGUCCGUUGUGAAAACUCGAGGCUUAACCUCGAGACGUCGAAUGGAAACCGUAUGGCUAGAGUUCGGUAGGGGAGACUGGAAUUCCUGGUGUAGCGGUGAAAUGCGCAGAGUAUCAGGAGGAACACCGGUGGCGAAGGCGGGUCUCUGGGCCGAUACUGACGCUGGAGGAGCGAAAGCGUGGGGAGCGAACAGG
rnacentral:rRNA from 1 species